UGCACAAUGGCUUGUGGCUGAACCGCUGAACGCUUAAGGAUCGUGAUUUGUUUCAGGGCAGCAGGUGUUACAAAAUACCCAUUAAAGACUUAAAGUACUUCAGAAUGACCACAUCAACUGCAACUCCAACUACAAAUGCAACUGCAACUCCAACUACAAGUACAACUCAACAAACAGAAGUUGGAUCAUCCUCUCAAGCUGCAUCUCACACAAAUGAAUCUGAAACUGCAACUCCAACAAGUAAAGGCAGAGCUGAAGCAGUUG